ensembl:rRNA 5S_rRNA 5S ribosomal RNA
CUGAAUGCCAUACCACCCUGACCGUGUGUGAUCUCUUCUGAUCUCAGGAAUUAAGCAGGGUCGAGCCUGGUGAGUACUUGGAUGGGAGACCAACUGGGAAUAUUGGGUGUUGUUUUUU